UGAAAUUUCUGUGUCUUGGAGAUCUUCCUCUACUACCUUAUAUGGUGGGGAAAAGAGACCCUCAGUCAAAUUCUUUCUUCUGAGGAGGCAUGGACAGAAGUUGCUACGAACCCGUAAGGAUAGGCCACCAGUAACACAGAAUAACUCUGAUCUCCUCCACCGUUAACCUAUUCAUCCCAGUUUCUCAUCUUGCUCUCAAGAUACUUCUCUCUGAUGCCUCUAGUUUGUAGCAACUCAGCAUUCUGCAAAGACUCUGCUCCAGCUGGGCAAGUAACCUUGUUAUUGCAUACACAGGUAUGCUCAGAGGACAGAAGGCUGGAAGGAAGGGAAGAAGGUAGAAAAACAAGAGUGAAAAAGAGGGUUUCCGAUUUAUGGAUGUAUAUUAAAGCAUAUUGAAGAUAUCAGGUGAUUUCAUCCCUUUAUACACUUCAGCAUAUAUCUCCAAAUGGAGGGGAGAAAGGACAGUAUGUCACUCUGUUGCGAAAGCUGGAGUAUAGUGGCUCAAUCAUAGCUCACUACAGCCUCAAGAACUUGGACCCAAGUGAUCCCCCUGCCUCAGCCUCCUGAGAAGCUGGGAUUACAUUUGUGUGUGUUUUUUUCCCCCCCAAGCACUGCUUUAUCAGCAUUACUAUUUUGAUAUACCGUAUUUUGUUUUUAUUUGGUUUUUGUUUUAUUUGCUUUGAGAUAUAUUUUAUGGACAAGUCAUGAAUUAUCUUGAUAAAUAUUCCAUGUUCAAUUUUUUGAAAAAGCUGUAUACACAGUAGUUUUGAGUGUAGUAGUCUACACAUCUCAAGAUGCAAAUUAGGUCAAAGUGAUGGAUAGUCUUGGUCAGAUGAUCAAUAUUCUUCCUAUGUUUUGUCUACUUGUUUUAUUUUAAUUUCCCAGAGCUGAACAGUAAAAUCCUUAACAAUGAUUGUG
rnacentral:lncRNA from 10 species